rnacentral:rRNA from 1 species
CCUACGGGGGGCUGCAGUGGGGAAUAUUGGACAAUGGGGGGAAGCCUGAUCGAGCCAUGCCGCGUGUGUGAAGAAGGCCCUCGGGUUGUAAAGCACUUUCAGUGGGGAAGAACGCCUGGUGGUUAAUACCCAUCAGGAAAGACAUCACUCACAGAAGAAGCACCGGCUAACUCCGUGCCAGCAGCCGCGGUAAUACGGAGGGUGCGAGCGUUAAUCGGAAUUACUGGGCGUAAAGCGCGCGUAGGUGGCUUGAUAAGCCGGUUGUGAAAGCCACGGGCUCAACCUGAGAACGGCAUCCGGAACUGUCAAGCUAGAGUGCAGGAGAGGAAGGUAGAAUUCCAGGUGUAGCGGUGAAAUGCGUAGAGAUAGGGAGGAAUACCAGUGGCGAAGGCGGCCUUCUGGACUGCAACUGACACUGAGGUGCGAAAGCGUGGGUAGCAAACAGGAUUAGAUACCCGGGUAGUC